CCAGAAGAGAAAGAAUUAACUUUGGGACACUGCCACCCUGAGACGGUUCUAUCACAGAUUAUUCCAUGCCUCUCAAGUGAGAUCUAUCCUGCUGCUUCCUUGUCCUUCCUCAUUACCCUAUCUCCAAGCCUGAUGGAUGCAGAGAAGACCUGACAACAGUGAGAAGAGGAAAAAUGUGGCGAAAAGAGAGAAGUCAAGAGUGUUCUUUGCCCAUUCUGGACUCCAGGGCUAAAGUAAUACCAAGCUCAGGAAUACAUUUUCAUUUUUGGCAUUUGAGAAAUCCACAUACAACAGUAGCGUGAAUGAAUGAAGAGGCUCGAGGAGCAGCAAAACCUACAAACUGAGAGAUGGGGCGCAGCACUUGGAGGGAGCUGUGGCUAGGUGGAUGGAUUCCAAAGUUGGUGACAAGAAGAACAUGGCCAAUUUCAUCCAACCUCAGUCCUGACCUCUUAUUAACAGCUACAAAGAUAGCCCUCCUCAUGUAAAUGGUAAAUAGAUCUCCAAACUUUACUUGGAAACCAUUAUGUAUGAAAUGAUCUUACUCUUCCCACUAAGAAAUGGGCUUGGAAAUUGUUUUUUACAAGAGAUCUUUUUUCUAUUAAAAUUAUUUUACCUUUUGAUUUUCAUAUUCCAGGCAUAUUUCUUGUUGCUGGAAUAGGAUUUUGACUUUUCAGAAUUCUCUUAUAGCUAUUUGAAUUGUUAAACUUUGGUCCUGUGACAAACCAAUUUUAGUACUCAAUGUCUGAUUGCAGAACUCAUCACCUCCCGUGUUUAUUAUUUUUUCUCUUUUCCACAUCAGAAGAGUAACUCCUUCUCUGCAUUUGGCUGCAUGUACAGCUGUUCCCAAAGGAGCUCCCUAAUUUGUUCACCCUUUCUGAAUUCACAUGUAAUCUUCUAAUCAGUAUCUUGAGACACUUUUUACCCUUCUUUAAUUUUUCACUGAUUUUAUAUGAUGAGCAUGACUCUUGAUAGCGGCAUGCACGCUAUAAUCCCAACAUAUUUUUGAGUCAAUGGAUUUAAAGGAUAAUUUGAUUUUAUAGUUGGUGAACGUGGCUCAAUUAACUUCACCAGGUGUAUAGUUAGUUGAUCUUGGGCUAUAUUUAUAAUCUUGUUGAAAUUCAAGUAAGGAAACAGAGAAACUGAUUUGCUACUGCUUACAUUUUAGCCGUCUCACUAGAAUACUAUCUAACAAAUGUAGUCAACUUUUGGAAUGGUACCACUAAGUACCUACAUACAGUUUAAACUCGGUAGUCUGGUGGAGGGGCAGAGUACUCUUCAGUUGUUUACUUGAAAUCAUCACUUAGGAUGUUUGCUCAAAGCACCUUUUGGCCAGAUAACCUCUCAGCUUUUUUCAGCCACACUUCCACUAAAAAAUUAAGCCCCAAUGCCCACGACAUCCACUGCUUGUCAUGAGUUAACUUCUCUCCAACGUACCUAGACUGGCACAAGUUCUAUACCACUGGGAGAACUUAGAAAUAGCCACUCAAAUAAUUUUGUUAAUUCUGUGGUUCAAAUGAGGUGCCAUGGUUGAGAAAGCCUGAAUGGUAGUACUGAUGUGAUUAUAGGUUUAUUCUCUGCAGGAGUCAGUGAAGAAGGAAAAGGGUUAUCCUAUUCUAAGAAUCCAUGACCUGAUGUGGUUAGGGCCUUAUUAUACAUAUGCUGUCUAAUGUACACUAAAAUUGUUCUUUAAGAUAGGUAUUCCCCUAAGUUAGAUACAAAAAAAAGGAAGCCAAGAGAAUUGAGGAAGUUGUGGUGGAGGUGGAUUUGAACUCAGUUCUGCCUCUGAAGCCCAGUUCUACCUCCUUCCACAUGCUGCACUGCUGCCAUUGGCACUUCUGGCCUUAGCUGGCUGUUUCAUAAAAAAAAAAUGCUAGGUCUUUUAAGAAUUUUAAGAAGGCAAGUUAAGCAAUAGGAUUGCUUUGCAUUUUACAGGCAGGAUUUGAUGUUGAUACAGAGAAUGGCUUAGGAGAGAGAGACACAUGAGAAGCAUCAGGCCAGCUAAUAAGGUUACUGCAAUGGUGGUCCUGAAUGGAGAGCGUGGCAGUAAGGGUGGGGAGAGAAUGACUCAAGAGAUCUUGGGGCAGUGAUUGACUGGUAACGAGGAGAACGAGGCUGGGGAAGAAGGCAAAAAGGAAAUGAUAAAUGACAAGAUGACCAUCACUCCUUAAAUAACUCAGAAAUAUACAUCUUCCUGAUGGUAGGUCAGUGACAUUAUCUUCACAUAUGAAAGGCAGUGCAGUUGUCACUUCUUUAUAUCAAAAACUCUAUUCUUAAGAAAACACUGAAAAGAAAGUCAUGUAAAAUUAAUCUAUUAGGAGGUGAAGUUUUAACAAAAGAAACAUAAAGAUGUGAACUGAGAGCCAUAAUCCUUCUGACUGGGACAUUUAUGCCAAUUCAAAUCUAAUUCAUGACAAGAGCUGGGUUUUGAACUAGCCAGUGGUAUAAAAUACUUAUCAGACUAAAUUAAACAGGCUGUUCUCCUCAAAAGGAGAGUCUGGGUAAUCUUCAGUACAUCACAUCCACGGGCAGAGAGCACCGCUUCCCUGGCUGCCUUCAACUGGAUCAGUGAUGGUCCCUGUGGCUGCUGGGCUCUCUUACCUAAGUGACUGUUUCUCCUUUAUGACUGCUGCUGGCAGGCACCUGUCCCACUCUCCUCCACAGAGCGCCCUCUUAUGCUCCAUUUAGUACCCAUUACAGCCUGGCCUACUCUCAUCUAUUACUUUCAUCAUCUUCAUUCUUCAUGAUAGGAGAAAAGCAGUUGGGAGUGUAAGCUGAAGAUGGUGUGUAUUAAUGUUUUCAAAGAUGACCUAGGCAUGUAAGAAUAACAUGAAAAUAUCUUAGCA